rnacentral:rRNA from 1 species
GACGAACGCUGGCGGCGUGCUUAACACAUGCAAGUCGAGCGAUGAAGUUCCUUCGGGAACGGAUUAGCGGCGGACGGGUGAGUAACACGUGGGUAACCUGCCUCAUAGAGGGGAAUAGCCUUCCGGAAGGAAGAUUAAUACCGCAUAAGAUUGUAGUACCGCAUGGUACAGCAAUUAAAGGAGCAAUCCGCUAUGAGAUGGACCCGCGUCGCAUUAGCUAGUUGGUGAGGUAACGGCUCACCAAGGCGACGAUGCGUAGCCGACCUGAGAGGGUGAUCGGCCACAUUGGGACUGAGACACGGCCCAGACUCCUACGGGAGGCAGCAGUGGGGAAUAUUGCACAAUGGGGGAAACCCUGAUGCAGCAACGCCGCGUGAGUGAUGACGGUCUUCGGAUUGUAAAACUCUGUCUUCAGGGACGAUAAUGACGGUACCUGAGGAGGAAGCCACGGCUAACUACGUGCCAGCCGCCGCCGUAAUAC